rnacentral:rRNA from 1 species
UGGGGAAUCUUGCGCAAUGGGGGAAACCCUGACGCAGCGACGCCGCGUGCGGGAUGAAGGCCUUCGGGUUGUAAACCGCUUUCAGCAGGGACGAGGCCUUAUGGUGACGGUACCUGCAGAAGAAGCUCCGGCUAAAUACGUGCCAGCAGCCGCGGUAAUACGUAUGGAGCAAGCGUUAUCCGGAUUCAUUGGGCGUAAAGCGCUCGUAGGCGGUCUGUUAGGUCGGCAAGUUAAAUCCGGGGGCUCAACCCCCGUCCGCUUCCGAUACCGGCAGACUUGGGUUUGGUAGGGGAAGGUGGAAUUCCUAGUGUAGCGGUGGAAUGCGCAGAUAUUAGGAAGAACACCCGUGGCGAAGGCGGCCUUCUGGGAAAUAACUGACGCUGAGGAGCGAAAGCUAGGGGAGCGAACAGG